rnacentral:rRNA from 1 species
ACUCCUACGGGAGGCAGCAGGUAGGGAAUCUUCCACAAUGGCGCAAGCCUGAUGGAGCAACACCGCGUGAGUGAAGAAGGUUUCGGCUCGUAAAGCUCUGUUGUUAAAGAAGAACACGUAUGAGAGUAACUGUUCAUACGUUGACGGUAUUUAACCAGAAAGUCACGGCUAACUACGUGCCAGCAGCCGCGGUAAUACGUAGGUGGCAAGCGUUAUCCGGAUUUAUUGGGCGUAAAGAGAGUGCAGGCGGUUUUUCAAGUUCUGAUGUGAAAGCCUUGGCUUAACCGGAGAAGUGCAUCGGAAACUGGAUAACUUGAGUGCAGAAGAGGGGUAUGGGAACUCCAUGUGUAGCGGUGGAAUGCGUAGAUAUAUGGAAGAACACCAGUGGCAAGGCGGCUACCUGGUCUGCAACUGACGCUGAGACUCGAAAGCAUGGGUAGCG